rnacentral:rRNA from 1 species
GACGAACGCUGGCGGCGUGCUUAACACAUGCAAGUCGAACGAAGUGGCGAACGGGUGAGUAACGCGUAAUCAACCUGCCCUUAAGAGGGGGACAACAGUUGGAAACGACUGCUAAUACCGCAUACUGAAGGAGGGGAUUGCGUCUGGUUAGCUAGUUGGAGGGGUAACGGGCCACAAAGGCGAUGAUCAGUAGCCGGUCUGGGAAGAUGAACGGCCACAUUGGGACUGGGGAACGGCCCAGGAUCCUACGGGGUGCAGCAGUGGGGGAUCUUCCGCAAUGGACGAAAGUCUGACGGAGCAACGCCGCGGGGGUGAUGACGGCCUUCGGGUUGUAAAGCUCUGUUAAUCGGGACGCGGUACCGGAAUAGAAAGCCACGGCUAACUACGUGCCAGCAGCCGCGGUAAUUC